AUACGAAGGGGGCAAGCGUUGUUCGGAAUAACUGGGCGUAAAGCGCACGUAGGCGGAUUGAUCAGUUAGAGGUGAAAUCCCAGGGCUCAACCCUGGAACUGCCUUUAAUACUGUCAGUCUAGAGAUCGAGAGAGGUGAGUGGAAUUCCGAGUGUAGAGGUGAAAUUCGUAGAUAUUCGGAGGAACACCAGUGGUGAAGGCGGCUCACUGGCUCGAUACUGACGCUGAGGUGCGAAAGCGUGGGGAGCAAACAGGAUUAGAUACCCCAGUAGUCC
rnacentral:rRNA from 1 species